rnacentral:rRNA from 1 species
UACGUAGGGGGCUAGCGUUGUCCGGAAUCAUUGGGCGUAAAGCGCGUGUAGGCGGCCAGGUAGGUCCGCUGUGAAAGCCCGAGGCUCAACCUCGGGGAUGUCGGCGGAAACCAUCUGGCUAGAGUUCGGGAGAGGAGAGUGGAAUUCCCGGUGUAGCGGUGAAAUGCGCAGAUAUCGGGAAGAACACCCGUGGCGAAGGCGGCUCUCUGGAACGAAACUGACGCUGAGACGCGAAAGCGUGGGGAGCGAACAGGAUUAGAUA